UACGUAGGGUGCAAGCGUUGUCCGGAAUUACUGGGCGUAAAGCGUGCGCAGGCGGUUAUGUAAGACAGAUGUGAAAUGCCCGGGCUUAACCUGGGAACUGCAUUUGUGACUGCAUGGCUAGAGUUUGGCAGAGGGGGGUAGAAUUCCACGUGUAGCAGUGAAAUGCGUAGAUAUGUGGAGGAACACCGAUGGCGAAGGCAGCCCCCUGGGUCAAGACUGACGCUCAUGCACGAAAGCGUGGGGAGCAAACAGG
rnacentral:rRNA from 1 species